GACGAACGCUGGCGGCGUGCCUAAUACAUGCAAGUUGAGCGCUGAAGGUUGGUACUUGUACCAACUGGAUGAGCAGCGAACGGGUGAGUAACGCGUGGUGAAUCUGCCUUUGAGCGGGGGACAACAUUUGGAAACGAAUGCUAAUACCGCAUAAAAACUUUAAACACAAGUUUUAAGUUUGAAAGAUGCAAUUGCAUCACUCAAAGAUGAUCCCGCGUUGUAUUAGCUAGUUGGUGAGGUAAGGGCUCACCAAGGCGAUGAUACAUAGCCGACCUGAGAGGGUGGUCGGCGACAUUGGGAGUGGGACACGGCCAAAACUCCUACGGGAGGCAGCAGUAGGGAAUCUUCGGCAAUGGACGAAAGUCUGACCGAGCAACGCCGCGUGAGAGAAGAAGGUUUUCGGAUCGUAAAACUCUGUUGGUAGAGAAGAACGUUGGUGAGAGUGGAAAGCUCAUCAAGUGACGGUAACUACACAGAAAGAGACGGCUAACUACGUG
rnacentral:rRNA from 1 species